CGGAACACGUACGCAACCUUCCUUUAACUGGAGAAUAGCCCCUCGAAAGAGGGAUUAAUACUCCGUAAUAUAAUGAAGAGGCAUCUCUUUAUUAUUAUAGCUCCGGCGGUUAAAGAUGGGCGUGCGCCUGAUUAGAUAGUUGGUGAGGUAACGGCUCACCAAGUCUGCGAUCAGUAACUGGUGUGAGAGCACGACCAGUCACACGGGCACUGAGACACGGGCCCG
rnacentral:rRNA from 1 species